UCCUAUUAAUCAUUCAUCUUUUUGAAUUCAGGUCAUUCAACAUUUGCAGCACUUAUUGGCUGUUUUUGGUGAAGUGAUUGGAACAGAUCAGAUUAAAGAAGAGAGCCAGAAUGCCUUGAUGAUGUUGCUGAAGGAUAUCCCCCAGCGAUUCCCCCAGGAAUUUCAGAACGCCCUGAUGGCAAUUCCCCAGGAAGCUGCCAAGAAAAUCUCCGCUGUGGUGUCCUCCUGAGUUCCCUCUCCUGCGAUUUGCUGAAGGAGCGAGCUUGCCCACUCUUUUUCUCUGCCAUCAGUUGGACACAUUACAAUGCCAGCACAAAAAACCAGGCCCCCCCGUGUCACCAUUGGGAGUUCCCUGAUCACCUCUCCACAUGGAACGUACGAAGCGACAUGGUUAAACGCUCCUGACCAGGGGUUUUUCGAACAGACGUUUUGGCAGUUCUGAGGAGCGUGCUGCCACAGUUUCUUGGUUGUGUGUUAGUUUCACCCCUGAGGGGCAAUUUCUUGUGUUUUCCUGCCGAGGUUUGGGGAGGGCGAAAAGUGUUUCAAGGCUGAUUUUGUGCAAUGAAAUUUAUUUUGUGUGGUUGUGCAAAGAUUCUCUGGUUGGACUAAUAAAAGCCCACAAAAGGA